AUGAAGAGAAGCACAUCUUGUCCUUCAGCGUCUCUGAAAUGCUCAGCCACAGUCAAUCCUGUAAGCCCAACACGAGCACGUGCACCAGGAGGCUCAUUCAUUUGACCAUACACAAGAGCACAUUUGCUGUCACUCUGCUUAUCUCCAAGCUUAAUGACACCGCUUUCAAUCAUUUCCCUGUACAAGUCGUUACCCUCUCGAGUACGUUCACCCACACCAGCAAACACAGAGAAACCACCAUGAGCCUUAGCAACAUUGUUGAUAAGUUCCAUAAUUAGCACCGUCUUUCCUACACCAGCACCACCAAAGAGCCCAAUUUUACCACCUCUUUGGUAAGGUGCAAGGAGAUCUACAACCUUGAUUCCUGUAACAAGAAUCUGUUGCUCAGUUGCCUGUUCAACAAAAGCUGGAGCUUCUCUAUGAAUGGGCAGAAAGUGCUCAGUUUUGAUGUCACCCUUCUCAUCAAUGGGCUCUCCAAUAACAUUCAUGAUGCGUCCAAGGGUAGCCCUACCAACAGGCACGGUGAUAGGAGAGCCAGUAUUUAAAACCCUUUGUCCUCUCACAAGCCCUUCAGUCCCAUCCAUAGCAAUAGUUCUCACCAUAUUUUCACCCAAAUGCUGAGCUACUUCCAAUACCAACCGGAUCGAAUUGUCCAUCACUUCUAGCGCCGUCAAUAUCGGAGGCAAGCCUUCAUCGAAGCGCACAUCCACGACGGCCCCAAUUACCUGACACACUUGACCGAUUGCACCUUUUCCAGUGAAUUCAUCAACGAUCUUCCCACCAGACCCAACGGUGGAAGUGGAAGAAGGAGGCUUCGGUGGAGAAGACGAUGGCGCCGCGGAUGCGGAGGUGGAGAAGUGAGUGACGCGUGAGAGGAGGGAGGGGAGAGGGCGAGCGAGAGGAGAUUUCGAGUGGUGGGAGAGCGACGGUCUGGAGGAGCGACGGAGGGAGGAGCGGAGGAGAGCAGAGAGAAGCUUACGAGACGACAUCGUUUACUGUAGAGAUAGUGAUCGGAGAAUGUGAGGCUUUGAUGAUGCUAGUGAGGAACAUUCAUUGGAAAAAGAAUUGGAUUCUCAGUGCUCUAGAGAGUUUAGCCGUUGUUUUGGAUUAUGGAAUUUUGGGUAAUCUGUUAGUCUAAGUCG
rnacentral:misc_RNA from 1 species